rnacentral:misc_RNA from 1 species
AAGUCGUAACAAGGUUUCCGUAGGUGAACCUGCGGAAGGAUCAUUAUUGAAACUUCUUUGGAAAAUAGUACUGUUGCUGGCCUUGUAAUGAGGUAUGUGCACGUCUAUUACCAAUCUAUUCAUCCACCUGUGCACUUUUUGUAGGGGUUCUUUGAGGCUAUUUUGUACUUGUGCAAUUUGGUUUUAAAAAGCUUCUAUGUCUUAUAAACCCAUUAGUAUGUCUCUGAAUGUUCUUUAUUGGGACUUGAUUGGCCCUUUAAACAUAAUACAACUUUUAGCAACGGAUCUCUUGGCUCUC